AGUGAACGCUGGCGGCAUGCCUUACACAUGCAAGUCGAACGGUAACGGGCCUUGGGGUGGCGCCGAGGGGCGGACGGUGGCGUAAUACAGCGGAACGUGCCCGAACCUGGGGGUUAGCGGGGCGAAAGCUUGGCUAAUACCGGAUACGACCGCCUGCGACAAGCGGGUGACCGCAGGGCCUUUUCGGGCCUUGCGCGCUGGAGGCAGCCGAUGUCGGAUUAGCUAGUUGGUGGGAUAAAGGCCUACCAAGGCGACGAUCCGUAGCUGGUCUGAGAGGAUGAUCAGCCACACUGGAACUGAGACACGGUCCAGACUCCUACGGGAGGCAGCAGUGGGGAAUAUUGGACAAUGGGCGCAAGCCUGAUCCAGCCAUGCCGCGUGCAGGAUGAAGGCCUUCGGGUUGUAAACUGCUUUUGUACGGAAAGAAAAGCAUUCGUUUAAUACAGGAGGGUCAUGACGGUACCGUAAGAAUAAGCACCGGCUAACUACGUG
rnacentral:rRNA from 1 species